rnacentral:rRNA from 1 species
UAGCAUAAUAAAUUGUUUUUUAAUUGGAAACUGGAAUGAAAGGUUAAACAAUUUUUAAGUUUAUAUAUUUUAAUUUAUGAAUUUUUAUUAUAAGUAAAAAUACUUAUAUUAUAUAAAGGGACGAUAAGACCCUAGAAGCUUUAGUUUAUUUAAUUGCAAAAUAGUUUUAUUUAAAAUUUGUUUGAUGUGAAACUUUGAUUGGGGAAAUAAUAAUUUUAUAAAUAAUUAUUAAUAAAAUAUAUAAGUUUUUUAAUGAUCUUUAAUAUAAGAAUGAAUAGUAUUAGUUACUCUAGGGAUAACAGCGUGAUAAUUUUGGAUAGACCUUAUAUAUAAAAUUGAUUACGACCUCGAUGUUGAAUUAAAAUAUCUUUAUAAAGUAGAAAUUAUGGAAGAAGGUUUGU